UGGAAUCUUCAGAAAUCAAAAUGAGAUAUCUUUUCCUUAACAGUUGUUGUGAUCAUGUUUCCGUGAAGCUGUUCACAUAGGAAAUGGUAACCUUUACCAAUUCCAUGAACCAUGAAAUUUUUCUGUCUUUGUAUAAAGUUGCUCUUUAUCCCUGGAUGUAUUAUCAUAUUCAGAUAAUUAACAUGAUGUUACAAACCACAGCAAUAAUUAUGGAUAUUUUGCAGGUAUCCCCAAAAGAAAUGUUCUUAUAUUUGACAAUGGUCUUGUGCUUAUUCAACAAAUACUCAGGUAAAAUCAGUACUGUCAUAAUGAAGGAUGUGUCUGAGAGCUUCUUAAAAGAUCAACUUCUGUCAUUUAGAUGUAUAUCAUGUGAUUUUCAGCAUCCCUCCUGUAAUCAAUAUGAACUUAGUGGUUGUUAAAGAAAACAUUUCUGGUAUCCCAGCUAAGGGAUGCUCUGCACCUUCAUCACAUCUGACCAUCUGAUCUUCAGAUACAAAGGUAUUCCUUCAGAGAGAAUGGAAUCUCUUCAGAGUUUUAACCUUAGAUUUCUACAGUUACACAGGUUCUUUGAAGACUUCUUGGCAACCCUAUCAAAGGUACUCAUGAAAUACAUAGCAGGUGUUCAAGUAAGUAUUGAUGUGAUCCAACCCUCACCCCUGAUAACAUGACCUUCAUACAUUUAGUAAGUGUUGACGUUAGAACUAACACCUUUAUUGGCACGUUUCUUUGCAAGUAACCUGUUCAAAUCCUUUGUGGUACACCAGUAUGAGAUGAUGUACAUUAACUCAUGAAGAUAUCCUAUAUCUCCCUAACUGUUGUUUUCAAUUAUCACAUUUACCUUUCCUAACACAGUUAACUUGUUCUUGAUAAUACUAACAAGCAUGAGUUUUUGCUGUGGCAUUGUAUAGA